rnacentral:rRNA from 1 species
UGGAAUCGCUAGUAAUCGCGGAUCAGAAUGCCGCGGUGAAUACGUUCCCGGGUCUUGUACACACCGCCCGUCACACCAUGGGAGUCGGAAAUGCCCGAAGUCUGUGACCCAACCUCAGGGAGGGAGCAGCCGAAGGCAGGUCGGAUGACUGGGGUGAAGUCGUAACAAGGUAUC